CUUUUUGUUUUUGUUUUCUUUUUUUUCGAGUGUUCUUUACGACAUAGGAACUCCUCAUCCAGCGACAAAAGGACUCCCAAUCCAGUGACGCACGGAUUUGCUUAUUUGUUGCAGCUGAAGGAUCGUUAAGAACAUAGAAGAAAAGUUUAAUUACAAUUAUGUAAAUAUUGUACUCUGAAAUGGAACGAACAUGGGUAACCAUGUUUGUUCCAGUCAGACUUCUUUCCCUUCUUGCAUUCUGAAAUGGAACGAACAUGGGUAACCAUGUUUGUUCCACUCAGACUUUUGACCCUUCUUGUAUUCUGAAAUGGAACGAUCAUGGGUAACCAUGUUUGUUCCAGUCAGACUUCAGAACACAAACAGAUUGUAGUUCAAAUGUUAAUGUAUUAAACAACAUAAAUACAAAAUUCUUCGUUCA